rnacentral:rRNA from 1 species
CAACUUUCGAUGGUAGGAUAGAGGCCUACCAUGGUGGUAACGGGUAACGGGGUGUUAGGGCACGACACCGGAGAGGGAGCCUGAGAAACGGCUACCACAUCCAAGGAUGGCAGCAGGCGCGCAAAUUACCCAAUCCCGACACGGGGAGGUAGUGACAAUAAAUAACAAUACGGGGUUCUUUAGGAUCUCGUAAUUGGAAUGAGUACAAUUUAAAUCUCUUAACGAGGAACAAUUGGAGGGCAAGUCUGGUGCCAGCAGCCGCGGUAAUUCCAGCUCCAAUAGCGUAUAUUAAAGUUGUUGCAGUUAAAAAGCUCGUAGUUGAAUUUCGGGGUUAGUAGGUUGGUCAUGCCUCCGGUAUGUACUGAUCUCACUGAUUCCUCCUUCCUUAUGAACCGUAAUGCCAUUAAUUUGGUGUUGCGGGGAAUUUGGACUGUUACUUUGAAAAAAUUAGAGUGUUUAAAGCAGGCUAACGCUUGAAUACAUUAGCAUGGAAUAAUGAAAUAGGACGUUCGAUCUUAUUUUGUUGGUUUCUAGGAUUGACGUAAUGAUUAAUAGGGAUAGUUGGGGGCAUUAGUAUUCAAUUGUCAGAGGUGAAAUUCUUGGAUUUAUUGAAGACUAACUACUGCGAAAGCAUUUGCCAAGGAUGUUUUCAUUAAUCAAGAACGAAAGUUAGGGGAUCGAAGACGAUCAGAUACCGUCGUAGUCUUAACCAUAAACUAUGCCGACUAGGGAUCGGAUGAUGUUAAUUUUUUAAUGACUCAUUCGGCGCCUUACGGGAAACCAAAGUGUU